rnacentral:rRNA from 1 species
UACGUAGGCAGCAAGCGUUGUUCGGAGUUACUGGGCGUAAAGAGUAUGUAGGCGGUUGGGUAAGUUUGGGGUGAAAUCUCCCGGCUUAACUGGGAGGGUGCGCUAAAGACUGCCUGGCUCGAGUGUGGGAGAGGAAAGCGGAAUUCCUGGUGUAGCGGUGAAAUGCGUAGAUAUCUGGAGGAACACCGGUGGCGAAGGCGGCAUCCUGGACCGACACUGACACUGAGGAGCGAAAGCCAGGGGAGCAAACGGG